rnacentral:lncRNA from 1 species
GAUAAUGUUGUUUGAAUUGCAAUUCUUAAUUUUUCAUAAGUAAUUGUAUAAUUUGUUUGUGUUGUAUUCCACAGUUAAACUGUGGUUUCCUUUGAGAAUUGAGAAAGUCUGAGUCACUGAGUGCGUUACUCAGUGAGUCAAUGUCCUAUUUUUGCAUUAGAAUUAAAAUAACAAGUAUCUGAGCAAUCUGGUAUGUUGGAUGACAUUAAUGGUCAGGAUUUUCUCAACUGUGUAUUACUGCAGGAAUAUUUGACAGCAGCAAAUCUGAAUCC